CCUACGGGAGGCAGCAGUGGGGAAUUUUCCGCAAUGGGCGAAAGCCUGACGGAGCAAUACCGCGUGAGGGAGGAAGGCUCUUGGGUUGUAAACCUCUUUUCUCAAGGAAGAAAACAAUGACGGUACUUGAGGAAUAAGCAUCGGCUAACUCCGUGCCAGCAGCCGCGGUAAUACGGAGGAUGCAAGCGUUAUCCGGAAUGAUUGGGCGUAAAGCGUCCGCAGGUGGCUGUGUAAGUCUGCUGUUAAAUAGUGAGGCUCAACCUCAUAAAGGCAGUGGAAACUACACGGCUAGAGUGCGUUCGGGGCAGAGGGAAUUCCUGGUGUAGCGGUGAAAUGCGUAGAGAUCAGGAAGAACACCGGUGGCGAAAGCGCUCUGCUAGGCCGCAACUGACACUGAGGGACGAAAGCUAGGGGAGCGAAUGGGAUUAGAUACCCCAGUAGUCCUAGCCGUAAACGAUGGAUACUAGGCGUGGCUUGUAUCGACCCGAGCCGUGCCGUAGCUAACGCGUUAAGUAUCCCGCCUGGGGAGUACGCNGCACUGUGAACUUAAAUAGUAAGUUAGACGGCGUGAGACGUGCCGAACGGACGACGACGAGGGAGGUAGG
rnacentral:rRNA from 1 species